rnacentral:rRNA from 1 species
UGGAAGCGUCUGGAAAGGCGCGCGAUACAGGGUGACAGCCCCGUACACAAAAAUGCACAUGCUGUGAGCUCGAUGAGUAGGGCGGGACACGUGGUAUCCUGUCUGAAUAUGGGGGGACCAUCCUCCAAGGCUAAAUACUCCUGACUGACCGAUAGUGAACCAGUACCGUGAGGGAAAGGCGAAAAGAACCCCGGCGAGGGGAGUGAAAAAGAACCUGAAACCGUGUACGUACAAGCAGUGGGAGCCUCUUUUAUGGGGUGACUGCGUACCUUUUGUAUAAUGGGUCAGCGACUUAUAUUCUGUAGCAAGGUUAACCGAAUAGGGGAGCCGAAGGGAAACCGAGUCUUAACUGGGCGUUAAGUUGCAGGGUAUAGACCCGAAACCCGGUGAUCUAGCCAUGGGCAGGUUGAAGGUUGGGUAACACUAACUGGAGGACCGAACCGACUAAUGUUGAAAAAUUAGCGGAUGACUUGUGGCUGGGGGUGAAAGGCCAAUCAAACCGGGAGAUAGCUGGUUCUCCCCGAAAGCUAUUUAGGUAGCGCCUCGUGAAUUCAUCUCCGGGGGUAGAGCACUGUUUCGGCAAGGGGGUCAUCCCGACUUACCAACCCGAUGCAAACUGCGAAUACCGGAGAAUGUUAUCACGGGAGACACACGGCGGGUGCUAACGUCCGUCGUGAAGAGGGAAACAACCCAGACCGCCAGCUAAGGUCCCAAAGUCAUGGUUAAGUGGGAAACGAUGUGGGAAGGCCCAGACAGCCAGGAUGUUGGCUUAGAAGCAGCCAUCAUUUAAAGAAAGCGUAAUAGCUCACUGGUCGAGU